UAGGGAAUCUUCCACAAUGGACGCAAGUCUGAUGGAGCAACGCCGCGUGAGUGAAGAAGGCUUUCGGGUCGUAAAACUCUGUUAUUGAAGAAGAACGUGUGUGACAGUAACUGGUCAUGCAGUGACGGUAUUCAAUCAGAAAGUCACGGCUAACUACGUGCCAGCAGCCGCGGUAAUACGUAGGUGGCAAGCGUUGUCCGGAUUUAUUGGGCGUAAAGCGAGUGCAGGCGGUCUUUUAAGUCUGAUGUGAAAGCCUUCGGCUUAACCGAAGAAGGGCAUCGGAAACUGGGAGACUUGAGUGCAGAAGAGGAGAGUGGAACUCCAUGUGUAGCGGUGAAAUGCGUAGAUAUAUGGAAGAACACCAGUGGCGAAGGCGGCUCUCUGGUCUGUAACUGACGCUGAGGCUCGAAAGCGUGGGUAGCAAACAGGNUUA
rnacentral:rRNA from 1 species